rnacentral:rRNA from 1 species
UACGGGGGGGGCAAGCGUUGUUCGGAAUUACUGGGCGUAAAGCGUGUGUAGGCGGCCACGUAAGUCGGAUGUGAAAGCCCCAGGCUCAACCUGGGAAGUGCACUCGAUACUGCGUGGCUUGAGUAUCGGAGAGGUUGGUGGAAUUCUCGGUGUAGAGGUGAAAUUCGUAGAUAUCGAGAGGAACACCGGUGGCGAAGGCGGCCAACUGGACGAAUACUGACGCUGAGACACGAAAGCGUGGGGAGCAAACAGG